CAGUCGCCGCGGUAAUACGUAGGGUGCAAGCGUUAAUCGGAAUUACUGGGCGUAAAGCGUGCGCAGGCGGUUCUAUAAGACAGAUGUGAAAUCCCCGGGCUCAACCUGGGAACUGCAUUUGUGACUGUAGAGCUGGAGUGCGGCAGAGGGGGAUGGAAUUCCGCGUGUAGCAGUGAAAUGCGUAGAUAUGCGGAGGAACACCGAUGGCGAAGGCAAUCCCCUGGGCCUGCACUGACGCUCAUGCACGAAAGCGUGGGGAGCGAACAGGAUUAGAUACCCGGGUAGUCCCUGUCUCUUAUAC
rnacentral:rRNA from 1 species